GAAGACUAAAGAAGCCUGGGGUCUCAGAGAGGUGAGACUGCCCUUGCCUAUGGGGUAUGUUAAAGCUUAGGAAGAACAUCAUGGUGAUGGGACAUGAAGCUGUAUAAGGCAUAAUUGAAGUGCUGACCCAUUCACAGCAACAAGUCAUUGAGCGGAGACUAUCAGUGAUCAGCCUGGUCAUCAGGCAGAGACAAUGAAGGUACAUUUACAUAUAAUGUAAACAAAACAAACAAGGAGAGGAGAAGACAGCAUGGAAUCUACACCCCAGCAGGAGAUAGCAGCAUUAUUUGCACUUACUUUUUCAAAGGUUUACUGGACUAUAAAGAGGUGGAGAGAAGCCCUGUAUUCCACUAGAGGAGACAACGAGACCAAGCACUUUGAGCUCUAUGAAGGGUCAUAGCUAAAAAGAAUCUGGUCAGCUGUACUGCAAGAAAGACUGGUGAGAACUUCUUUGAACAAAGAACCCUAAUUUGUUAAACUGAGUUUUAGUCUUAGAAGCGUAUUGUUACUUUGUUUGUAACCACUAUCCUUAUUCCUUAUAGACGGUAUCUCUCAAACCUGUGUACUUUUGUGAAUACACUUUUUUUGUUUUCUAUCAUAAACCCUCCACAGCAAUCAAAGCACUGAGUUAGUCACCCCUUAAUAAGCUGCUGUGUAUUGUCUCUUUAAAGGAGCAGUAACCUUAAUAAGAUUUUUUUUUUUUGAGAGGGACUGGACACUUCAGAAAGAAGUUUUCAGGAAGAACUCAGGGCUGGAAGGGUUAUUGAGGUCCCCCUGCAAAGAGUAACUGGGCAGUGCAAGUCAGGGUGAGGUUUGUAUGCUGGCUGGUGCUAGGAGCCACAGGAGCAAAGCAUUCUAGGUACCCAGAGUUGCAAAGCGGAUGGUAACUGAACCCAUUACAGGCCUGGGUAAGAGCAUCACAACAUGUCAUUCAAGUCCCUUUUCCCAAAGAACAGUCAGACGCGCUCUCUCUCUCUUUUUAAAUUCAUGGACAUAAUACAAGGGAGUUAUAAUUUGACGGUGAAAUUACUGGUCUGUGGAACAAAGUCUUAUGUAGUUAAUUAACUGUUUUUGCUCUAAAUCCAUUUGCCAUUCACAAUACUUGUUUGUAAAAUGGAAUAACGGCCUAUCUGUUUUUUUUUCUAGAAAAUAAAGUUGGUGACUCCCUUUAGUAGUAGCAAUGAUGAUUUUUCCUUAGUACAAUUGUUUAAAUUGUUCUUAACAAUAAAUUGCAUCCGAAAUAGUUAAUUUGGUACUGGCAGACUGACUGUAAAUUUAGCAUUAACAAUGCUAAAACUAUACUCAUCUCACUAAUGUAGUUAAGCAAAAUCAAAUAUGGUUUAAACCUGUAUUUUUAACUGUUAAAUUUAUGGAAAUAAGGCAAUUUCAAAUUCUAUAUUGUAGUAGCAACCUGUUACAUUUCAUGUAUUGGAUUGAGAACAAAUAAGCCAAUUGUACAUCUAUUUUUACUCACUGAUGGACACAAGAAAAUUGUGUUCUUAUUCCCUUGUAAUAGGGUUUGAAGUGAACCAGAAUGAGUUCAAUCACUUUCUACAGCAUUUUUGUUCAUUUAAAAUAAAAAAAUUAUAGUGCUGGCCCUUCUACUUGUGCGGCUACACAUCAGAAUGUGAAC